UCAGCCUUGCAUACUCAGCUGUGAGCACAGACAGCUCACUAUGGAGUUGGCAAUAAGAUUGGCUUUCCUUCUUGUCUGUUUUAAAGGUGUCCAGGCUGAGGUGCAGCUAGUGGAGUCCGGAGGAGGCUUGGUGCAGCCUGGCGGGUCCCUGAGACUCUCCUGUGCAGCCUCUGGGUUCACCUUCAGUAGCCACUACAUGAGCUGGGUUCGCCAGGCCCCAGGGAAGGGGCUGGACUGGGUCUCAGCAAUUAGCUCUGAUGGUAGUAGCACAUACUACGCAGCCUCCGUGAAGGGCCGAUUCACCGUCUCCAGAGACAACGGCAAGAACGCGCUGUAUCUGCAAAUGAGCAGCCUGAGAACCGAGGACACGGCCGUGUAUUACUGUGCGAGAGACACAGUGAGAGAACAUCACUUUGAGCCCGCACACAAACCUCCCUGCAUGUGCGCUCAGGACCAGCAGGGGGAGCGCGAGACACAGUUCAGAAUACUCCAGAGCACAUUUGAAGUCCUGGUGAAGCUCAGGGAACCUGGUCACAGACUGGAUGGAAACUGGAUCCGUGGUGAGGGGCAGUCGGUAUGA